rnacentral:rRNA from 1 species
GCGGCAGGCUUAACACAUGCAAGUCGAGCGGUAACAGAAAUAGCUUGCUAUUUGCUGACGAGCGGCGACGGGUGAGUAAUGCCUGGGAAUAUACCCUGAUGUGGGGGAUAACUAUUGGAAACGAUAGCUAAUACCGCAUAAUCUCUUCGGAGCAAAGAGGGGGACCUUCGGGCCUCUCGCGUCAGGAUUAGCCCAGGUGGGAUUAGCUAGUUGGUGAGGUAAUGGCUCACCAAGGCGACGAUCCCUAGCUGGUCUGAGAGGAUGAUCAGCCACACUGGAACUGAGACACGGUCCAGACUCCUACGGGAGGCAGCAGUGGGGAAUAUUGCACAAUGGGGGAAACCCUGAUGCAGCCAUGCCGCGUGUAUGAAGAAGGCCUUCGGGUUGUAAAGUACUUUCAGUUGUGAGGAAGGCAGUUAAGUUAAUAGCUUAGCUGUUUGACGUUAGCAACAGAAGAAGCACCGGCUAACUCCGUGCCAGCAGCCGCGGUAAUACGGAGGGUGCGAACGUUAAUCGGAAUUACUGGGCGUAAAGCGCAUGCAGGUGGUCUGUUAAGCAAGAUGUGAAAGCCCGGGGCUCAACCUCGGAACAGCAUUUUGAACUGGCAGACUAGAGUACUGUAGAGGGGGGUAGAAUUUCA